rnacentral:rRNA from 1 species
UACGUAGGGUGCAAGCGUUAAUCGGAAUUACUGGGCGUAAAGCGUGCGCAGGCGGUUGUGUAAGACAGAUGUGAAAUCCCCGGGCUCAACCUGGGAACUGCAUUUGUGACUGCACGGCUCGAGUGCGGCAGAGGGGGAUGGAAUUCCGCGUGUAGCAGUGAAAUGCGUGAGAUAUGCGGAGGAACACCGAUGGCGAAGGCAAUCCCCUGGGCCUGCACUGACGGCUCAUGCACGAAAGCGUGGGGAGCAAACAGG